GCCGCUAACCCUCCCCUCCGCCCCAAGGUGCGCGUCGCUGCCGCUGCCCUGUCCCGCCCCGCCCCGUCCCGUCCCGUCCCGUCCCGUCCCACCGGCGGGGGCGAUGCGCUCCGCGCCGCCGGCCCUUCCUCCCUUUUAAUUUCCUCUUAGACGGUUUGCCUGGCGCAGGAUCCCCGCUCCGGAUAGCCUUGCCUCCUGCCUCCCCGGCGGCAGCGCCGAGCCUCGGCCGUGCGCUCCAGCACUGAAUUUCCUCCGAGCCUUCCUGCCCAUAGUGUGCUAUUGAUUGCUGAGCUGAUCUUCCUCCUGAAAUCAUUAAAGCUUAAAAAAUUGAUGGCACAGUAGAGCCCUUUAUUAGCUAUAUAAAUUUUCUGCCUUU